UACGUAGGGAGCAAGCGUUGUCCGGAAUCAUUGGGCGUAAAGCGCGCGUAGGUGGCCAUGUAAGUCCGCUGUGAAAGUCAAAGGCUCAACCUUUGAAAGCCGGUGGAUACUGCAUGGCUAGAGUACGGAAGAGGCGAGUGGAAUUCCUGGUGUAGCGGUGGAAUGCGCAGAUAUCAGGAAGAACACCGAUGGCGAAGGCAGGUCACUGGGCCGCAACUGACGCUGAGGAGCGAAAGCAUGGGGAGCGAACAGG
rnacentral:rRNA from 1 species